GACGAACGCUGGCGGCGUGCCUAAUACAUGCAAGUAGAACGCUGAAGGAGGAGCUUGCUUCUCUGGAUGAGUUGCGAACGGGUGAGUAACGCGUAGGUAACCUGCCUGGUAGCGGGGGAUAACUAUUGGAAACGAUAGCUAAUACCGCAUAAGAGUAGAUGUUGCAUGACAUUUGCUUAAAAAGUGCAAUUGCAUCACUACCAGAUGGACCUGCGUUGUAUUAGCUAGUUGGUGAGGUAACGGCUCACCAAGGCGACGAUACAUAGCCGACCUGAGAGGGUGAUCGGCCACACUGGGACUGAGACACGGCCCAGACUCCUACGGGAGGCAGCAGUAGGGAAUCUUCGGCAAUGGACGGAAGUCUGACCGAGCAACGCCGCGUGAGUGAAGAAGGUUUUCGGAUCGUAAAGCUCUGUUGUAAGAGAAGAACGAGUGUGAGAGUGGAAAGUUCACACUGCGACGGUAUCUUACCAGAAAGGGACGGCUAACUACGUG
rnacentral:rRNA from 1 species